rnacentral:snoRNA from 1 species
AAUGGCAAAGAAGAAUACAAGAAUGGAAGUAAUACUUGGCACCCAUGCCACCAGGGGCCUCAGCUCCUCUCCCACUGCCGCAGUGUGGGAGGGUGAAACCCAGGCCCCGACAAGC